UUGGGUUGACGUCACAGGGAUGCGACACUGGCGAAAAACUGGAGCUUCGAUUGGCUGCCGCUGGUCGCCAGAGGGAGCUAGUGGGUGUCUGUGCGAGAGCUGCGCCCGCUGCGAGGGGAGGCUUGGAGGCCGCCCCCUUCUGGAGAUAAGAAGAAUCUAGAGGCAAACAGAGCAGAGGCAGCAUUGUUAGUGGCUGCAACACAGCUGUGGAGUUUUUCAGACUUCUAAUGUGGUGUAGAAAUCAACAGACUGAGGAUGGGAAUCUGGCUCCUCCUGUUCUUCGGCUCUCUGGGCUGUAAGCUGUGUGGAAACAAGAGCAGAAGCAUACCUGGCCCAACAGGAUCCCAUCCCUGUCACUGUGGUACCUCCUGCCUUCCGUUCAGCUUCCUGCUGGUGCACUGGUGUCUUCCGAGUACUGCGUGGCAAGUGCACGUGGGCCUUUUGUAGUUGUCCCGCCUUUUUAGACCAAACCAAUGUACAACGUACAUGCACCGACUGAUGUCUUGCAUCUCCCUAAAGUGUAUAAACCAAAGCUGUACCCUGAUGACCUUGGGGAUGUUUCAUCAGGACCUCCUCAGGUUGUAUCAGGGGCACAUUUUUAACCUAACAAAAUAAACUUCGUAAUUGAUAG
rnacentral:lncRNA from 1 species